AUCAAAAGAUCCUACAUGGAAAAUGUUAAAUCAUUAAGACAGAGGCACAAAUAUUUAUGCAGUAGCUAUAAUGUGCCAAAUAGGGCUUUUUCCAUGCAUUUUGUUCAUUUGUUCAAAAACCAUGUUGUGGGACUUACCUGUGCUAGUGAAGAUAUAAAGAAGAGCAAGAGAGAUGUACUUGCAACAAACCACACAGUGUGGUAUGACUGUUCCAGUCUUACAAGCAAGAAAGCUGAGUCAUGGAGGAGCUCAACUGAGUUCAAUCCACACAGCUGGGAGUAAAGAUCUGGAACAGAAAUGCAGCUUCUUCUCAAUCUUGUCUCUUGUUUGCAAAAACAAAAACAAAGUCCAGAUACUUUCACAGUUUCUAAUUUUUUGAGAAUACUGGCAUACAUAAAGUAUUUCCAUCCAUAUGGAAUGACAUAGGUAGGUGUACAGCAUCUAAGAAAAUAUAAUUAACAUCUUAUUCAACAGCAAAGUUUGCUUGCAGUAUAUACAAAAUUAAGAGGAUAAUUGAAUGUAAGGUAGAAUCUGGUAACACAAAAUUAAGUAGCACUGGGAUGACUGGUAGAGUAUAUAUGAUUUUUUUCUUUAAGAAUAAGUCUCCCACCUGUGGUACACUAUGUGAAUAAUUCCAUGACUUAGCAUCAUGCAUAUGGCUACUUCUCCAUACUUCUCAAGGGACAAUGUCAUUUAUCACGGCUUCUCAAAUGUUAAGAUGCAUACGAAUCUCUUGGGGGUCUUAAUAAACUACAGGUUCUGAUUCAAAGGUCUGAGGUGGGGCCUAAGAUUCUGCAUUUCUAACAAGCUCCCAGGGCAUACAUAUGGUGCUGGUCUGUGGGCACACUUUGACUUUAAGGCAGUUACAGUCAUUUCUGGCACCGGUCAAAAGCUGUAUCUUGGGCCUCAUCCCUAUUAUUGGUUACUUUUGUAAGAGUGUUUGCUGAGCAGACAUUCCUAGUGGAGCAGCUUAUAGGAAUUAAGGAAGGUAUAAAGUCAUGGUAGAAGGGACAAAAGGGAAGAAAUAAACAUGGUAUAAUGAAUUCUGCACCUCUUUCCUAAAGAAACCACAAGCAAAUCAUUUACUCCUUGUUUAGAAGGGUCAACCUGAUUCAGGUCUUCAACCUGAAGACCCAGGCCCUCAUACAGCAAAGCCAUUGACCACCUUGAAAAAUUACUAUUUUGCUCUUUGGUGUAACCUCAGUUUUAUCUUGCUGAAACAAAACAAAAAGAAUCCAAUAGUGCAUUCCUUUGUAUUAUUUAUUCUGGCUGGAUACUAAUGUUAAUUUUCUUAAAUGCUUUGGCCACUAUAUUAAAAUUGUCCAUUUCAUCAAAUGGCUUAGUGUGAAUCUUUUGAAGAUGUACAAGAGAAUUUCUUCAUUAGAGCAUUGCUUCUGAAGUUUUAAUGAGCACACAAAUCACCUUAGAAUCUUAUUAAAAAUAUAAAUUUUGAUUCAGUGGAACUGGGGUGUGGACUGAAAAUUGGCAUUUCUUAAAAGCUCCUAGGUAAGUCUGAUAUAACAGAUCCUUGGGGGACUCUGAGUACAGAGGCCUUGGACCAUUUGAUCCUACUUUGCAUUAAGAAGGUAUUCUGUGUGUGAGUGUGUGUGUGUGUGUGUGUGUGUGUGUGUGUGUGAUAUUCAAGUAGUGAGGAAAUUAUAUAUUAACAAAUAGCUGAAAUGACGAAAACCAGGCAUCUGCCUCAACACAUAGGCUAGUGAUCAAAGAUUCCACAAUCACAUUUCCUUACCAUGAAGGACUUCUCAACACUAGAUGUAUAAAAAAGGAUUUUUGUCAGUAAGAUGAUGAUCCCUUUCAGUUUUUCUGAAAUCAGGCUGUAUUCUAGAUCACUCAGCAGAUUGUAAGAGCAGAAAGGGUCAGGGCCCACCCAAGACCAACUAAAUCCCAGCCUCUGGACAUGGAUCUAAUGAGCAAUCUCUAGACCACCAGCAUCAGCAGCACCUGCUGGUCUAGAGAUUAGAUGUCUAAACUUAUUAGACAUCUCAUGUCCCAUCCAGAUCUACUGAAUCUAAGUCUACAGUUUAUAAAGAUCCCCAAGCAUUCCAAUGCACAUUCAAAUUUCAAAAGACACUGUUAAGUAGGAGGCAAACCUAGAUAGUUGCCAUAGCAACUUAAUUGUAUUAAACACCUCUCUUCCACUCUAGUAGUUUGGGCCUUUGACUGGUAUUAGAACCAAAAGAAGACAGAUAUAUCAAGCCCAUGCAAAGCCUGGUAUGUUGACUGGCUCUAAUGUAUCUGGGAAGGUGUAAAAUAACAGGGAGAAGACACAGGAAAAAAAUCCAGUUCUAGGUCCCUAGUGCUUCAUACCAGCAGUUUCUUUGGUUCCUCUUUAUUAUGCCUCACCUUUUUUCCAGAAACUUUUACCACUUGCUUCCAGCUUUAAGUCUACUGAGUAGACAUUUACCUGAAGGAACUGAAUCAAGAAUUCCAGUCUGGACUUGCUGGACCAUAGUGACAGUAGUGCUUACUUUGCAGUGAUGCAUUCCUAUCACUGCUCUAAAACUCAAGGGAAGGGGCAAGCAAUCAAGCAUUUAUGGACGAUUCCUUUGUGCCUAGCAUUAUGCUAAAGGUAAUGGUGACACAUAUAAAGGGUUAGUUGCUAGAAACUUGUGGAAGGUGCAUGCAUUUACUUUACAAAUAAUACACAAAUACAUUAUCAAGUUCUGAAGUAGUGAAAAAGCAUAAAGUAAAGGCUUAACAGUGGGGCAUAGAUAGUCUGAGCAAAUAAUAAUAACAAUAAUAAUAAUAACAAUAAUAAUAAUAAUUAGAGAUGGAAGAUGUCAGUUUGAGGCUUCAUAGAGCCAAUGGAACUUGAGUUGAGCAGAUGUAAGAUAUGAGACAUUCCAUUGAGAGGCCACAGGUUGAACAAAGGCAAAAAAAA